rnacentral:rRNA from 1 species
AGGAGCUUGCUCUUUCCGGAUGAGUUGCGAACGGGUGAGUAACGCGUAGGUAACCUGCCUGGUAGCGGGGGAUAACUAUUGGAAACGAUAGCUAAUACCGCAUAACAGUAGAUAUUGCAUGAUAUCUGCUUGAAAGGGGCAAUUGCUCCACUACCAGAUGGACCUGCGUUGUAUUAGCUAGUUGGUGAGGUAACGGCUCACCAAGGCGACGAUACAUAGCCGACCUGAGAGGGUGAUCGGCCACACUGGGACUGAGACACGGCCCAGACUCCUACGGGAGGCAGCAGUAGGGAAUCUUCGGCAAUGGACGGAAGUCUGACCGAGCAACGCCGCGUGAGUGAAGAAGGUUUUCGGAUCGUAAAGCUCUGUUGUAAGAGAAGAACGAGUGUGAGAGUGGAAAGUUCACACUGUGACGGUAUCUUACCAGAAAGGGACGGCUAACUACGUGCCAGCAGCCGCGGUAAUACGUAGGUCCCGAGCGUUAUCCGGAUUUAUUGGGCGUAAAGCGAGCGCAGGCGGUUAGAUAAGUCUGAAGUUAAAGGCUGUGGCUUAACCAUAGUACGCUUUGGAAACUGUUUAACUUGAGUGCAAGAGGGGAGAGUGGAAUUCCAUGUGUAGCGGUGAAAUGCGUAGAUAUAUGGAGGAACACCGGUGGCGAAAGCGGCUCUCUGGCUUGUAACUGA